rnacentral:rRNA from 1 species
AUGGACAACAGGUAGAUAUUCCUGUACCACCUCAUGAACGUUUGAACGAUGGGGGGACGCAGUAGGAUAAGGAAUGCGCACGGAUGGAUGUGUGCGCCCAAGCAGUGAGAAAGUCGGAUAGGCAAAUCCGUCCGAUAAUUUCAAGCUGUGAUGGGGAGGGAAAUAGAGUACCGAAGUUCCGGAUUUCACACUGCCAAGAAAAGCCUCUAGUAAGUUCAUAGGUGCCCGUACCGCAAACCGACACAGGUAGGCGAGGAGAGAAUCCUAAGGUGAGCGGGAGAACUCUCGUUAAGGAACUCGGCAAAAUGACCCCGUAACUUCGGGAGAAGGGGUGCUCCUUUAAGGAGGAGCCGCAGUGAAUAGGCCCAAGCGACUGUUUAGCAAAAACACAGGUCUCUGCGAAGCCGAAAGGCGAAGUAUAGGGGCUGACACCUGCCCGGUGCUGGAAGGUUAAGGGGAAACGUUAGUGCUUCGGCACGAAGCGUAGAACCGAAGCCCCAGUAAACGGCGGCCGUAACUAUAACGGUCCUAAGGUAGCGAAAUUCCUUGUCGGGUAAGUUCCGACCCGCACGAAAGGUGCAACGACUUGGGCACUGUCUCAACGAGAGACCCGGUGAAAUUAUACUAUGCGUGAAGAUGCGCAUUACCCGCGACAGGACGGAAAGACCCCGUGGAGCUUUACUGUAGCCUGAUAUUGAAUGUUGGUACAGCUUGUACAGGAUAGGUGGGAGCCAUCGAAGCGUGAGCGCUAGCUUACGUGGAGGCAACCGUGGGAUACCACCCUGGCUGUACGAACCUUCUAACCCAGGGCCGUGAUCCGGUCCGGAGACAGUGUCAGGCGGGCAGUUUGACUGGGGCGGUCGCCUCCCAAAAGGUAACGGAGGCGCCCAAAGGUUCCCUCAGAAUGGUUGGAAAUCAUUCGCAGAGUGUAAAGGCAGAAGGGAGCUUGACUGCGAGACCUACAAGUCGAGCAGGGACGAAAGUCGGGCUUAGUGAUCCGGUGGUUCCGCAUGGAAGGGCCAUCGCUCAACGGAUAAAAGCUACCCCGGGGAUAACAGGCUUAUCUCCCCCAAGAGUUCACAUCGACGGGGAGGUUUGGCACCUCGAUGUCGGCUCAUCGCAUCCUGGGGCUGUAGUCGGUCCCAAGGGUUGGGCUGUUCGCCCAUUAAAGCGGUACGCGAGCUGGGUUCAGAACGUCGUGAGACAGUUCGGUCCCUAUCCGUCGUGGGCGCAGGAGGUUUGAGAGGAGCUGUCCUUAGUACGAGAGGACCGGGAUGGACACACCGCUGGUGUACCAGUUGUUCCGCCAGGAGCAUAGCUGGGUAGCUACGUGUGGCAGGGAUAAGUGCUGAAAGCAUCUAAGCAUGAAGCCCCCCUCAAGAUGAGACUUCCCAUCACUAAAAGUGAGUAAGAUCCCUCAGAGAUGAUGAGGUUGAUAGGUCCGAGGUGGAAGCGUGGUGACACGUGUAGCUGACGGAUACUAAUCGAUCGAGGACUUAACU